GGGAGGGAGUGUUAGUGUGGAGCUGAGGGCAGAGGUGCGGAAUGACUUAGUUUGGCCGCCCUGGGAGCCCGUCGCGGCUGCGACGUUUUGACGUGUGGAGGGGCGGGGCAGAGGUCGGCAUCAUGGCGGAGUCCAGCUGAGCGCGCGGGUUAGGCGAUUCUUUAUUCAAGAGAACUUAAGACAAAUUGCAUAAAUCAAGAUGCCUGCUGCUUGUGAUUCACUGCUUGAAGAUAUUGAGGAUAUUGUGUCAGCACAAGAUGUGAAACCACAUGACCGACAGUUUGCACGAAAGAAUGUUGUUCCUAAAGUGCGAAAACGCAGUUCACAAAAAAAUGUUCAGGCGGAUGAUGAUCCACCAAGUGAUAGCAUUAUUCCCGGUGCACAAAAAAUCUGGAUACGCACAUGGGGAUGUUCUCAUAAUAAUUCAGAUGGAGAAUAUAUGGCUGGACAGUUGGCUUCUUAUGGGUACAAAAUUACAGAGAACGCCGCAGAAGCAGACUUGUGGCUUCUUAACAGUUGCACGGUAAAAAGCCCAGCUGAAGAUCACUUCAGAAACUCAAUUAAGAAAGCCCAAGAAGACAACAAGAAAGUGGUUUUAGCUGGAUGUGUUCCACAAGCCCAGCCUCGUCAAGACUACCUCAAAGGUCUGAGCAUUAUAGGGGUUCAGCAAAUAGACCGUGUAGUAGAAGUUGUGGAGGAAACUAUUAAAGGUCACUCUGUGAGACUGCUGGGUCAGAAAAAAGAUAAUGGAAAACGGCUGGGGGGAGCUCGAUUGGAUUUGCCAAAGAUUAGGAAGAACCCACUGAUAGAAAUCAUUUCCAUCAAUACAGGGUGUCUCAAUGCAUGUACCUAUUGCAAAACCAAACAUGCCAGAGGAGACCUAGCAAGUUAUCCAAUUGAAGAACUAGUGGACAGGGCCAAACAGUCUUUUCAAGAGGGUGUUUGUGAGAUAUGGCUGACCAGCGAAGAUACAGGGGCUUAUGGCAGAGACAUUGGCACAGACCUUCCUACACUUCUGUGGAAGCUGGUUGACGUUAUUCCUGAGGGAGCUAUGCUGAGACUUGGCAUGACAAAUCCUCCCUAUAUUUUAGAGCAUCUGGAGGAAAUGGCAAAGAUUCUCAAUCAUCCAAGAGUAUAUGCUUUUCUUCACAUACCAGUCCAAUCUGCUUCUGACAGCAUACUCAUGGACAUGAAAAGAGAAUACUGUGUGGCAGACUUCAAACGGGUAGUGGAUUUCCUUAAAGAAAAAGUGCCUGGAAUAACAAUUGCUACAGACAUCAUCUGUGGUUUUCCAGGGGAGACAGAUGAAGAUUUUCAAGACACCAUGAAACUUGUAGAAGAGUACAGGUUUCCAAGCCUCUUUAUUAAUCAGUUUUACCCACGUCCAGGGACUCCUGCUGCAAAAAUACAUCAAGUUCCAGCCCUAGUGAAAAAGCAAAGAACAAAGGAUCUAUCCCAACUAUUUCAUUCAUACAGUCCUUAUGAUCAUAAGGUUGGUGAGAGACAGAGAGUUCUGGUAACAGAAGAAUCUUUUGAUUCCCAGUUUUAUGUUGCUCACAAUCAAUUCUACGAGCAGGUUCUCGUGCCAAAGGAUCCUGAAUUCAUGGGUAAAAUGGUAGAAGUGGACAUUUAUGAAGCAGGGAAACAUUUUAUGAAGGGGCGGCCAGUGUCAGAUGCCAAUGUGUUCACUCCAUCCAUCACCAGACCGCUAGCAAAAGGAGAGGUUUCCGGUAUAACAGAGGUGUGGCCCCAAUGGACACUGCUGGUCAAAAAUCUCCAACAAGUGCAUAGGGCGCAUGUGCACCAAGAGUGGAACCUGUGGACAACACAUCUUGAAGAACUACUGCUACUGUUAGGAGGUGGCUGUAUGUGGCAGAGCAAGUGGUCUUUGGCUAUGAAGACUUUGGGGAUCUUUUGGCACAAAAGGAAAAAUAUCCCGACUUUUGCAUGAUGGGAUAGCCAUUUCCAGCUCAGCUGUAGUAGCCAGCAGAAGAAACUCUACGCAACUGGAGACCAAGCUCAGUAACCAUGAAUAACGAGAGCCUGAAGAUCAUUCUCAAUCCCAGGCUUCAUACAGACCAAUACAAGGCACUGUUGCAAUACCAUUCCAGUUAAGUUUCUGCCUUACUUUUAAUUAUUCAUUACCAGUCAGAAUUCCUGUAGCUUUCUUAGCAGUUAUGUAUUCCAGAAGCCAAACAAAGAAUAACAAUGAAAGAAUUUGAAUCCAUUAUUUUAGCUAAAUAAUUCUAAAUGCCUCAUUCUAAAUUUUAUUUAAAAAUGAAUAUGUGAAUGCAAAGUAUUUUUUUUUGUUCAAUUAAGUUAUCACAUAUAUAUUGUGGGUAAGUCAGAUAUUUGCAAAAGUUUUUUCUUAAAAGUUGGAGAAUAGGGCAAGUUUAAAUAUUCACAGAUGUGAAAAUGAGCAUCUAAGCAUUUCAUUCCUCUACUGGGUAAAACAGAGCAGCUGAAUUUUCAUGUCUCUGGAGGGAGCAUGUACCCAGAUUUCAUUAUUCACAGGAGUCUUAUAUGAUUCCUCAGACACUGCAAUGAAAAAUAUAUUCCCAGUUGUAUUUCUUGUUAAAAAAUAUUUGUUAAAUGGAGGUUAUUUACCUGUAAGUGAGGGUACCCUCUCUGUAUUCCACACAUGGGUACAUAUGUGCCGCAUGUGCCUGAGACCAGAGAUUUCUAGCAAGUAGUAUCUAUUGGUCUGCAGUUUCUCCCCUCAUGCUGUGUACCAUAGGUAUAAAGUGGCAGUGUAGACCAAUGCCUCUCCAGUUACUCCUCUUAUCCCAAAGCAGAGGAGAAGAAGGGCAGAUAGUGGACUACAGAUCGGGACCACAAAUCUCAAAAAACCUCCAGUUCUUGGUAAGCAACUUCCACGUCUUCUCCAAGUGCAGGUUUCUAUGUGUAUUCAAACAGAAGUGGGGUGGAAGAAGGCAGUUGGUAUAGAUGUCUGUAAUACUGCUGUCCCAACAGCUGCAUCUGUAGAUGAGGUCUGGACUAAGGUGCAGUGUUUCAUGAAAGUAUGGCUGGAACUCCAGGUCUUAAAAAUGUCCAGAUAUUUUUGAAAGAAGAGAUGCUAUUGAGGUUGCCUGUGGUCUAGUGGAAUGGGCCCUCACCCCUCCAGGGAAGGAAUACACACCAACUAAUAAAGCAUGAUACAGCUGGAGAUCCACUCAGUUGCUGAGAAGAUAAUGCUUGAUCUCAUGAUCAUUCUACUAUAGCAACAAAUAGUCUAGGGCGGCAUUCUCCUAAUUGAUUUCAUUCUUUGCAGACAGAAGGCUAAAGCCCAUCUGAUGUUGAGAGAAUUAAGUCUCCUCUUCUUGUUGGAAGCAUGAUGUUUUGGAAAGAAUACUGAUUCCCAUGGAUGCCAGGAGAAGGUCAACCACACGACCUAAUCUUUAUGAAGACCCUGGGUGCUGUUACCAGGCCGAAUGGAAGUACUCUGAACUGGUGGUGGUCUUGUCCUAACAGAAAUUUGAAGAACCUUCUGUAGGACGGGUUAAUGUCAACAUGAAAGUAAGCAUCUUUCAAGUCAAGAACCACAAAUCAUAUGCACCUCUCCAGGAAAUAGAAUAACUGAAGCCAAUACAACUGUAACCAAAUGCACCCCUGUAUAUACACCCUAUACACUACUAUAGUAAUCUUUGUACAAAAUAGGCCUUGUAAGGUAUCAUAUGAAAACUAAUAACUCAGUGGUUAAUAACAUCAUGGUGACAUGUAUGUAGCAUCAUUAUAUAUAAAGUUAUGAAUUUCCCAUGUAUGAUGAUGAUAGCACAUGUUGAAACCCACAUAGCCUUGACUAGGCAUAAGUUGUUAAACAGGUCUAUCCUAAACAAAGAAAUGUGUUUACACCUCAACUUACAUGUAAGUGGUAAACAGGGGCCCUUGGGACAGCAAGAGGGGUAAAGCAGUUUCUCAAAGAUAAAGGACAAACUGAUGCCUCUAGCCAGGUAUCAUCAUCAGUUGACUGGCACUCACCAGUCAAGUGGCCUUUCUUUGACAAUGAAGUAGGGCAGGAACAGAUCAAACUGCAUUUUAGCAAGCAAACGCCAAGGAACCUCUUUCACCAUGAGACUUUGAGUCCAUCCUUGCAGCUGGAAGGAAUUUUAUCUAGGGCUAACCUUCAGGAAGAUGCAUUUCAAAGGAUGACUGCACUAUAAAAGUGAGAGAAACAUAACCUGGGGUGUGUUUGCCUUUCUCUCUCUUUCACCUAAGACAACAAAGGAACGAACAAGCCUUUUGACUUUGGAAGGGAUCCUAACAUGUAAAUUUGGUUAGCAACAUUGCUAACCAAAAUGUAAGGAUUUUACUUUGAAACAAGUUUAGUUUACGCUUCAGUAACUAGAACGCAUUUUAUCUUUUUCGCUUGUAACCAUUUCUGACUUUAAUACCUUGUACUUGUAGUCACUUAUAAUCUAUCCCUCUGUAGU